rnacentral:tRNA from 1 species
GCGACAUUAAUUCAGUUGGUAGAAUGUCUGCCUUCCAAGCAGAACGUCAGGAGUUCGAGUCUCCUAUGUCGCUCCA